rnacentral:rRNA from 1 species
UACGUAGGGGGCAAGCGUUGUCCGGAUUUAUUGGGCGUAAAGGGCGCGUAGGCGGUUUCUUGCGUCCCACGUGAAAGCCCCUGGCUCAACCAGGGAGGGUCGUGGGAAACGGGGGAACUGGAGGCAGCGAGAGGCUGGUGGAAUUCCCGGAGUAGUGGUGAAAUGCGUAGAGAUCGGGAGGAACACCAGUGGCGAAGGCGGCCUUCUGGACCAAUACUGACGCUCAUGCACGAAAGCGUGGGGAGCAAACAGG